rnacentral:rRNA from 2 species
UGGGGAAUAUUGGACAAUGGGCGCAAGCCUGAUCCAGCCAUGCCGCGUGAGUGAUGAAGGCCUUAGGGUUGUAAAGCUCUUUCGCCGGUGAAGAUAAUGACGGUAACCGGAGAAGAAGCCCCGGCUAACUUCGUGCCAGCAGCCGCGGUAAUACGAAGGGGGCUAGCGUUGCUCGGAAUCACUGGGCGUAAAGCGCACGUAGGCGGAUCGUUAAGUCAGGGGUGAAAUCCUGGGGCUCAACCUCAGAACUGCCCUUGAUACUGGCGAUCUCGAGUUCGAGAGAGGUUGGUGGAACUCCGAGUGUAGAGGUGAAAUUCGUAGAUAUUCGGAAGAACACCAGUGGCGAAGGCGGCCAACUGGCUCGAUACUGACGCUGAGGUGCGAAAGCGUGGGGAGCAAACAGG